rnacentral:lncRNA from 1 species
GAAUUUAGGGGUAUAGGGUUAAUUAUUAGGGUUUAGGGUUUACUGAGGGUUAUAGAUGUUUUAGGGGUUUGGCCGGGGUUUAGGGUUUCUUAAUAGGUUAAUAUUAGAUUGAUUAAUUUUGGAGGUAAAUAUAUAUGUUCUUAUAUAUUUGUAAAAUAUAUAUCCAGAAUAAAUUUAAUAUUAAGAUAAGUUUUGAGUAUAAUAGGUAUAAGAUGAUCACUUUAUGCAUGUACGUAGCUACAUAUAUAAAUUGAAUGGUUAAUAUGAAGAUUACAAGGUUAAUUUAUAAUAGAAGACUUGUUAAUAUAACUAAUAAUUAAUAAUAGUUAUAACUGGCAAAACAUUUAACCCAAAUUAACGUCCAUUGUAUAUAUUUUUACUUAUAUAUGGAUAUAUAUGAAUAUAUAUGGAUAUAUAUAUAGUUAUUAAAUAUUUAAUUUGUAAAUAUAGGACCAAACUAAAAUUGGUAUAAAUAAAUAAACAAAUAAAUAAGUUAGUAAUUAUUUAUUUGUUAAAUAAAUUGGUAAUUAAUUAUUUAAAAGUAAGACAAAAAGAAAAUGAGAGUUUUAGCGGCGUUUCUAUAUAAAAACGCCGCAAAAGGUAUCCUUUACCGGCGUUUUAGUAAAAAACGCCACAAUUAUUACAAUAUACGGCGUCGUUCUGUGAAUUAGGGAAUCAGAUUCUAUUGUGGCGUUUUAUAGGGAAGCGCCGCAAAACUUAUAACUUAACUUAAACGGCGUCGUUUCGUCAGCGGACAAAUUCACUUACAUCUCUGCCUCCGUCCUCCAGUUACAGCAACCCUUAACAAAAUUUUCUAAGUGUCAAAAUUACAGAGAGAAGUGUGUAAAAACUUAUCACGAAAAAUAGAAAGGGAAGAAAGGUGGUCGGAGUCGAUCUUGAAAGACGGUGGGCACAGCUGCGAGAUUUGUCGAUUGAAUAGGUAAGCACAUCCGGUUCUGUUUCGAUUAAAUUUUUGGGGUUUUAGGUCAGUCUAAGUUAUUUGGGGUUUUAGGGUUUCGAUUAAACAACAUAAUUUCUGGGGAAUCAUUAGAUGAUGGGGAAUAGGUAAGCCGUCUGUCGUCUUGGAACUGUGUUUGAAUGUUCCUGAUUUUUACUCAUGUCUUCGCCAUCCCUUCUUUCUCUUUUACAGAAGAAAAAAGCGGAAUUUGUUUGAACUGGAACAAGGC